rnacentral:lncRNA from 14 species
GAGGGGAUGAUGGCGGCAUCCUUCUCAGAAGUGGGGCUGGGGUUGGCAGGUGCCAAUCACAACAGAGUUUUUGUUGGUAUCUCCAUGGGGUGGAGCAGGGCAGGGCCCCACCUAGAAGUGUUCCUACUGUGCUCAGCUGCCUCAGCCAAACUCCUGCCUCGAGAUCUAACUCCUAGUCUGUGCUGUGCUGCACAGUUUGCUGGGCAAAGCAGCUGCAGCCUUCGUCUUGGGUGUGGGGAUGCUGAGAAGAGACGGUUUGGCAUUACCAGAAGGAUCCCACAAGCAGCAGACAGGAACAUCAGAGACAAGAAAGUCGGCGGCAGAGCGAUUAGCGCCAUAGAGACAUAAAAUGAGAGAGACAGGAAAUGUUAGAGAGACAUAAACAGGAAGAGGAGAUGGCACGCAAGAGCCAAAGAAAGGCAGAGACGGCGAUGCUUCAAAGCCGGUGGCUCUAAAUGUAGAGCUCCUGCGAACCCAGGGAUGGAGACAUUGCUUGGAGCUAGAAAAUUAAAAUAGUCUUCCCCCGAGGCUUCAGAGUGAGUCAACCCUGCUCGAACCUGCCUCUGUCACGUCUGGCCUCCAGUGCUGUGAAGUCACACAUUGCGUGUCUGUGGUCGGUUGUCACGCAGCCACAGGAAACUCAAAGGGGUUGCCUGGUGUCCUCGCCUCCUGUCAGAAGCCCCCUGGGUUCUUUCAGGACCCCUCUGUGGCUUUCAGGCUGUACCUUGCCCUUGGUGACCCCGUUUUACAAGCAGCGCUUGGCUGCGUUUUCAGUGCAAAUGCAGACAGGGUAACUCUGCAUCCUGUGCACGUAGACGUGACGACCCGUCCAGCGACACUGUGGAGCACGGACUGUUAGCUAGUGCCCGAAAGUAAGAAACGACCAGUGGGAAACUUGUCACACCACACUGGGAACAUAUGGGCACACUGGUGUGUUAAAGUCAUACCAGGAAAACCAGGCUAAAGGACUUAAGGAACACAGACUGAAGGGAGUACCUGCCCCUGGACCCCAUCGAGUGAAAGGUGCUUGACACUAUGAAGAAGACAGCCCCACCCACCUGUCACCUGACCACCCAGGGUGUGUGUCAAGAGACUGAUGGGCCGGGUUCCUGUAGACCCUGGGAUUUCAGUUGGCCUUUAUCCCCAGUGCUUGACCCACCCGGCUUUCAGCACAUCUGUUUGUUCUUCUGUUCAGCCCAAAUGGAUCCCUAGAUCUGGUUGUGUGCUUGACUCCACAUUCCUCUUGUAGAAAUCCAACUUACCUUACCUAGGGCCGGGGGAUGGCUCAGUUGUAACCAUGGGAACUCGGGUUCAAGCCUCAGGAUCCAAGAAGAGGGCAAGGGGUGCUGUGCAUGCUUCAUUUCUAAUCCCAGUGCCACGGGGGGAGAGGGGGCUGCGGAGUCAUGCAACUCCCUGGGAUGGCUGGUCGACUGAGCUGCGUUGGUGAGUUCCAGGCAGGUGAAAGACCGUGUGUCAAAAAAAAUCAAAGUGGUUGGUGUCCUGAGGACCAACUGCUGCGCAUUACCUAUGGCUUCCUCAGGUGUGAACACACACAGACACAUAGACACAGACACAGACACACACACACACACACAGAUACACACACAGAUGCACACACAGACAAGAUACACACAUGCACAUACACACACACAUAUAUACUUACAGACUCAGACACACACAGACACACACACUCAUACACAUAGGCACAUAUAUACACAAACACACAUACAGACACAUACACACACAUACACAGACACAAGCACAUACACAUACCGACAUAAAUAUACACACAUACAGAUACACACAGACACAUGUACACAUAGACACACACAUAUACAGAUACAGAUACUCACAUAGACACACAUAUAUACACACAGACACAGACACUCAUAUAGACACACAUAGACACACAUAUUUAUGCACACAUAUAGACACAUAGACACACACACUCAUAUGCACACAUACAGACACACAUAGACACACACAGAUACACACACACACAGACACAUGCACACACACAGUGAGUGAGAGAAAGCACAUGCAUUGAUAAACCUUAAUGUCCCCGGGUUGUUUCCUUGGCCAGUAGCUACAGGGUCUCUGCUCUUUCUUGACUUUCCCCGAAGCGGAGCAGGCAGAUGGGUCUCUGAGGAGCUCUAGUAGAUGUGUGUCUGACAUGACAAAAUGGACCGAGGUGCCAACAUGGCCACCAGGAGCACACCGAGUGGCAGCUUACCCCAGAGAGCAGGUCUCCCUUGCACAUCUGGGUAGGCUGCCCUUUGUGACAACAGCUGUCCCCUCUAGGUUUCCUCUCAUCCUUCAGACUGGCUCCCUCUUUCCUGUGUAGAGGCUGAGUUGUGUAGAUCACCCCAAGAGAUUUCCAUGCCCUCUGCCUCAGGGCUAGACUCACAGUGAGCCAGAGGGGAGGAGACGUGCAAUGAUCUCCCAGAGCUAACGACACAUACGCACUGUCUCACAGUUCGUGGUAAAGUGUCCACAAGUCCGGGGUCCUCCCUGGGCUCUGGGAGGACCUGUCUAGCCUUCCUUGGCGUGGAGAAGCAUCUCAUGUCUUUACCUCCUUUAGUACACGGCCUUUAGCUCUGUAUCUGUCUGUGUUGUCCACCCAUGGGGACAUGGGUCACUGGACCUGACUUUAUCUGCUGUACUUCCCCACAUACGGGGGUUGGGGGGGAAAGCCAGCUUCUAAGUGAGAUCACAUUCUGAGGCUCCGGGAGAACAUGGAGUUUGGGGUUCAGUCUAGAGCAUUGCUGGCCCCCGUGAACCAGCAAUGUCUAUGAAUGAGAGGUGCUGCCGCCGCCAGAAGAAUGACUUGCUGUUCUAGGUGUCAGCUAUCGGUCACCACCAUUGUCCUGUGGGGCUUGGGGAAGAUGUGGCUUUGCUGUCACCAACCCCAGCUGCCUUCCCUCUGAGGCUCCCCUGCCUUAUACACACCAUGUAAGAAAACCUCCUUUGGGGGUUGGGGAUUUAGCUCAGUGGUAGAGCGCUUGCCUAGGAGGCGCAAGGCCCUGGGUUCAGUCCCCAGCUCCAAAAAAAAAGACCCAAAAAAAAAAAAAAAAAAGAAAAGAAAAGAAAAAGAAAACCUCCUUUGACCUGUCCUGAAGGUGCCAUCUGUCUCUUGUUGGACAGGACACAGUGCCAGCACCAAUCAUAUUUUUGUCCCUGUCAAUUCUUUCUCACUGAACAGGGAGAACCUGGAAGGGGUUGGUUUGAGUCACUGCCUAACAUCGGGAGGCUGAGACUGGCCAAGGUCUGCCUCAGGGCUGUGCUUAGACAAUAACCUUCUCCCUCCUUCUUCAGGGCCCCAGGAAAACCCUUUCUGCUUAUGGUAUGGGGACCUGUGGACUGAGUCUGGCCACCCUAAGUUCUCUCCAUUGUGGGUGCCAGAGGCCCAGCUCCCACUGGCUUCAGCAGAAAUAGGUUGAAGAGUUCUGUGGGGGCUUGGUCUGGGGUGCAGAUGGGUAUGCAAAUGGUUGCUUGAAGUUGGCACAGCCUGUCUCUCCUCGUCUCUGAUGCUUUUCCAGCCGGUGUGGCUUGGUCACUCCCAGCAUCUCUGCUGGGUGAGACUGAGAUAGCUCCCGGAGGGAGACUGAGAUGGUUCCCAGAGGGUUGGGCAACAGGACCCAUCCAGCUACAGGCUUCCCUCGGGAAGCAGGAUUCUUUCUCAAUGGUGUUGACAAUGGUCAUAGGGGAGACAUUGGUGGAUAGGGUCACAAGCUGGGCAGGUAGUUAGUUCCCCAGAGUGAAACUUGGGAGCAGAAGGCACUUUAGGACAGAGUGGGUAUAGCUAGGCGGCAUAGGUCCUGUCGGGGAAGGAGAGCGUACUGGGGUCAACUGCAGUGUCAAGGGAACACAGGCAAGGGGCUCCAUCUUCUAGGGUCCUCCCUGGCCAGAGGAACUAAAGGGAAGGGUGGCCAGAGGCUGUGUCGGGAGGGCACGGUUCAUGUUCUUGAUGUCCUGUGUCAGAAUCAGGACACUCUGGGCUGCUACACUCAGGCCCUCCACCCUUAUCCUCUCCCAGGCGCCUCAACUUGACGAGGACUUACAUUUUACAUGUUUGUGACUUUUUUAUAAUUGAACUCGAGCAACCAUCUGUGUGACAAGCACCAGGACAGGCCACCCAGGGCUGAAGGAUGGCCUUCAUCCCUUCCCCCUACCCAAGGGAUCAUGGCUUGGACUCUGAGCAGACCUGGGCCCCUCACCAAAGAUCUGGGAUGAACAGGGUCUAGCCCAUCCUCACACAUCACUCCUGUUUCUGUCCUAGACCUUGUUUUCCUGUUGCCUUUUUGAGGGGAGACAUUGGUGGGGCUUGAUACACCAGCCAGGGCUCCGGUCCGGAAGGGUCAUGUCCCCAUUUUGCACCCCUCACCCCCCGGCUCUCGUUCCGCUCCUGAUGGCCACGAAGCCAGGCUUCUGACUUUGGAUGUCUCCCUUUGUUCAGCCAGGGCAGAGGCCCCUGAAGGCGGGGUGGCUGUUCCAAUGCUCCCUUGUUUGCUCCACAUCCCCAACAGACUCUUGUUUGGUAAGCUGCCGUGUGAGACUGGAGAGUGACGCUCCACUCGGAGCAAGGCAGGGAGGACCCG